AAGAUGCUGAGCUACAGAGCACCUCUCAGGCUCUGACAUAGAGCUGGGACAGCUAGGGAGCUCUCUGGUCCACUCAGGCUGCUGGUGGAUUUAGGUAGUGUCCACAUGCCACUUGAGGUGUCCUACCUGUUCUGUUCCACCUAUUCCUGGGCCAUGUGGUGGAGUUGCUGUGGAUCCCUCGCCUCGGGAGGAAGGUGCCAACCAGAGGUCAGGAGUCACUAAUCGACCGCUUAUUACUUAUGCCCAGGGCCGGCCCUGCCCUUGGUAAUGGUUUCGCUGCCCAAGCCUGUGAUUGCAUCCCCUGCCUACCUCUGUCCCCCAUGCUCAGUAACUGGAAUCUGUCCCUGCAGACACACUGUAGAGCAGGGCCGGCUGGUUACUGCGCCCUGGGGUCAGGCUGCUCGCCCUGGCUGCUCACUCUUUUAGAGGACUCACUGGAGAGUUAUAUGUACUGUACACAGUUUGCAUGUGGGAGUUUUUUGUUUGUAUAGCUAUAUCACUUACUGCAUAUCAGCAUUUGGACUCACAUCUGUAGUGUUAAGGCAGGAGUGGCCGGCGCAGUGACAUUGAUUACAUUGUAAUGUGUAAUACAACACCUCAUGGUGGAUCCAUGAGGUGAACCAGUGAACAUCACAUUUAGAUUUGAAUCAUUUAGCUGAUGCUCUUGUCAAGAGUGACUUACAGGUAGCUAGGUGGGAGAACCACAUAUCACAAGUAGCUAUCAGUAGAGUCAGAGCUAAAGAAGGGGGGGGGGGGAUUAUUUAAGAGCGUUUGAAGAGGAAGGGUUUCAGAUGUUUUCGGAAGUUGGGCAGGGUAUGUAUGUGUGAACCACGCAACACUUGCAAAUAAAGAACCAUCAACUCCA